rnacentral:rRNA from 1 species
UGGGGAAUAUUGGACAAUGGGCGAAAGCCUGAUCCAGCCAUGCCGCGUGUGUGAAGAAGGUCUUCGGAUUGUAAAGCACUUUAAGUUGGGAGGAAGGGCAGUAAGCGAAUACCUUGCUGUUUUGACGUUACCGACAGAAUAAGCACCGGCUAACUCUGUGCCAGCAGCCGCGGUAAUACAGAGGGUGCAAGCGUUAAUCGGAAUUACUGGGCGUAAAGCGCGCGUAGGUGGUUCGUUAAGUUGAAUGUGAAAGCCCAGGGCUCAACCUGGGAACUGCAACCAAAACUGGCGAGCUAGAGUAGAGCAGAGGGGGGUGGAAUUUCCUGUGUAACGGUGAAAUGCGUAGAUAUAGGAAGGAACACCAGUGGGGAAGGCGACCACCUUGGCUCAUACUGACACUGAGGUGCGAAAGCGAAGGGAGCAAACAGG